UCUCCAUGGCCUGGAUUACUGUUCUUCAUCUGCUUCAGCCCUGUGUAUGGGGUGCAAGGAUCUGGCAACAGGGCAGUGAGCUCAGCUUUAAACGUUCUGCUCUAUCUGGGGAGAGUGGUGAGUAGAGUAUAAAUUAUUGCUGAGGAUAUUUUUUUCCUCCCAAGAUGAUGAAUCAACCCAGUCUAUUAUGGGGGAGGAUACAGAGAACAGUGGAUCAUACUGCACAUCUCUGCUCUACUCCCUUAGUUCCCUCUGCCUUUCCACUCUCAGCAGGGAUUUCAUCAGCUGUCCUGCUCCUGUACUGGCAAACACAACUCUGAUACAAGUGAAUUGAACUCCGCAGAAAUAUAGAUGUCUCCAGUGACCUGAGCUUUAAGCCUAAAAGCCCUUUGGAUUGGAUAUAAAUGCUUUUGCCUUGGCCACAAAUUGGCUUCUGCAAGAACAACAGAAGAUUAAGCAGCCCAUCUAAACCCAGGUGCAUCUUAUAGUGGUGAUAUAAAUUAGUUUCUAGCACUCAUCCAACUCUUACGACUGUUGAAGCUUAAACUGAAGCUGAGUGCAGUCUUUAUGAAUCAGGUAGCAUAUUUCUCAGACUCUAACUGCACAGUGGCAAACAAUAGCGCUUUGUUCAAUACAUUUAGCUGUUUAAAACUUAGCACUUAAUUAUACAGAGGCAAACAAGCUGAGCAGGAGGACAGGUGUUCCAGCCCCGGUCAAGGCCUCCCAGUCAGUCCUCUGGGCUCCUAGAAUUUGGCCUGAUUCUGACUUUUGCCUCUACAUGGGGGUGGAAACAGCUAAACUGCUCAGCUCUCCCAGGGCGUAAGUCCAGUAACAGAGUGGAAAACACCCCUGUGUAGAAGCAAUUGCAGUGCUAGUUUUCCAAAAGUAGCAAUUACCCUGUUGGAUUUCCCUUUUUCUGCUUGUUUAUUUGUUAUUUAUCUGAGCUUUGCUUUGUUUUCUAAUUGCUUUCUAUUAGCAUAGCUAAGGAUUUCCUUUGGGAUGCUGCGUUGCAGCUGGUGAUCACUGUGUAUGUUAUAAAUGGUGAAGGCUGGAUUUCUGGUUUUGCCUGUUGUAUUUCAUGUAUGAAUGCUCUUUCUCAGCAUUAAACAUCUAAAUAGUAAGGGUAGUUCUGAUUACAAAGCUUCUGAAUUGCCUGAGUUCAUGGAUGAAAAGAACCAUGUGGCUCUUUGCAAUACAAUAACAGCCACACGUACCGAAGAAGACAUUUCCUUUGCUCUAGGCUCAUGCUACAGGUGGUUUCUUGGAGCAGUAGCCAGUUGUUCUUUGAGCCAUUGCCCUUAAAAUAAAGCCUAGUUUUCCAAAACCAGAGCACAGACUGGUAUCUGGAGUGUGGUCUGCACUCUUGACCAUAAGCUGGUUUAUGUUUGACUUGUCUUUGAUAUGUGCAAGCAAGAUGAAGCCAAAAAAAAAUACCCUUUAGACCAUCUUUCGCAUUGCCUUCUAGCACCCCUUUCUUUGAAUUGCCUGGCUGCUUUAAAAAGCAGGGUGAGCUGCAGGAGAACUGAGUGAACUGAAGAUAAGUGACUGUGGGUUUUACCAGCCUCUGGCAGUGGAGGCAACAGACUCUGCAUAUUUAUUGAUUGCAGUGUGCUUUACCUCCUGGGAGGGGGUAUUCAGAGCUAAUGGUGGGUGUAUUUGUUAUGUCUGGUUCAGAAAUAAGAAUGAAUAAAUUAUAAGCAGUGGAAUGCAA